ACGCUGGCGGCGUGCCUAAUACAUGCAAGUAGAACGCUGAAGGAGGAGCUUGCUUCUCCGGAUGAGUUGCGAACGGGUGAGUAACGCGUAGGUAACCUGCCUGGUAGCGGGGGAUAACUAUUGGAAACGAUAGCUAAUACCGCAUAACAGUAGAUAUUGCAUGAUAUCUGCUUGAAAGGUGCAAUUGCAUCACUACCAGAUGGACCUGCGUUGUAUUAGCUAGUUGGUGGGGUAACGGCUCACCAAGGCGACGAUACAUAGCCGACCUGAGAGGGUGAUCGGCCACACUGGGACUGGGACACGGCCCAGACUCCUACGGGAGGCAGCAGUAGGGAAUCUUCGGCAAUGGACGGAAGUCUGACCGAGCAACGCCGCGUGAGUGAAGAAGGUUUUCGGAUCGUAAAGCUCUGUUGUAAGAGAAGAACGAGUGUGAGAGUGGAAAGUUCACACUGUGACGGUAUCUUACCAGAAAGGGACGGCUAACUACGUGCCAGCAGCCGCGGUAAUACGUAGGUCCCGAGCGUUGUCCGGAUUUAUUGGGCGUAAAGCGAGCGCAGGCGGUUAGAUAAGUCUGAAGUUAAAGGCUGUGGCUUAACCAUAGUACGCUUUGGAAACUGUUUAACUUGAGUGCAAGAGGGGAGAGUGGAAUUCCAUGUGUAGCGGUGAAAUGCGUAGAUAUAUGGAGGAACACCGGUGGCGAAAGCGGCUCUCUGGCUUGUAACUGACGCUGAGGCUCGAAAGCGUGGGGAGCAAACAGGAUUAGAUACCCUGGUAGUCCACGCCGUAAACGAUGAGUGCUAGGUGUUAGACCCUUUCCGGGGUUUAGUGCCGCAGCUAACGCAUUAAGCACUCCGCCUGGGGAGUACGACCGCAAGGUUGAAACUCAAAGGAAUUGACGGGGGCCCGCACAA
rnacentral:rRNA from 1 species